rnacentral:lncRNA from 1 species
AAUCCCCUUGGGCUUUCUUUAGCUUUAAUUUACAUAAACACAGGGAUCAUAUGAAUAUUCAGUGAGUGGCUUUGCAUUAAGUAAGUGCCCUUAAUCAGCUUUUCAGUUCAGUUUUAUUGGUUGCACGCACAGUCAGUUAUUUCAUCCAGAAAAUCUGAAGCCCCUACAAACUAACCAGACUCCAUGAAGUGAGCAGCAGCUUCCCACAAUGAUGAUUCUGCCUUGGAGCAGCUGUGGAUUGAAACCUCUCAAACUGCCACACAGGACCUCCAUGCUAUGGCCCCUGUGUCACCACAAGGCUCCUCGAAGAAAUAACCAUGAAAUUCAGGGGUAUGCUGAAGCCAUCCCUUCCCUCUCCCCUGCUACCCCGGCGGCGUCAGCAACCACUGCUCCCAGCAGAUUUCACAAAGGGCUGCGCACCAGGAGUGGAAAGGGAAGAUUUUACUGAGCAGUUGUGGAGGAGAAGCUGAUGACCACUGAGAAGAAAGAAAGAUGGCGGCUGGUGUCAGCUGAGGAAGUUGGCACAGGCAGAACCGUGGG